rnacentral:rRNA from 1 species
CCUACGGGAGGCAGCAGUAGGGAAUCUUCCACAAUGGGCGAAAGCCUGAUGGAGCAACGCCGCGUGGGUGAAGAAGGUCUUCGGAUCGUAAAACCCUGUUGUUAGAGAAGAAAGUGCGUGAGAGUAACUGUUCACGUUUCGACGGUAUCUAACCAGAAAGCCACGGCUAACUACGUGCCAGCAGCCGCGGUAAUACGUAGGUGGCAAGCGUUAUCCGGAUUGAUUGGGCGUAAAGGGAACGCAGGCGGUCUUUUAAGUCUGAUGUGAAAGCCUUCGGCUUAACCGGAGUAGUGCAUUGGAAACUGGGGGACUUGAGUGCAGAAGAGGAGAGUGGAACUCGAGGUGUAGCGGUGAAAUGCGUAGAUAUAUGGAAGAACACCAGUGGCGAAAGCGGCUCUCUGGUCUGUAACUGACGCUGAGGUUCGAAAGCGUGGGUAGCAAACAGGAUUAGAUACCCGGGUAGUC